CAAUAGCGCAUAUUAAAGUUGUUGCAGUUAAAAAGCUCGUAGUUGGAUUUGUGGUGGUUCCUGUGGUCCGAUUUCGGUACUCUCGGGGACUGCCAUCUUUGGGUGGAUCCUGUGUGGCAUUAGGUUGUCGUGCAGGGGAUGCCCAUCGUUUACUGUGAAAAAAUUAGAGUGUUCAAAGCAGGCUUAUGCCGUUGAAUAUAUUAGCAUGGAAUAAUGAGAUAGGACCUUGGUACUAUUUUGUUGGUUUGCGCACCGAGGUAAUGAUUAAUAGGGACAGUUGUGGGUAUUCGUAUUCCAUUGUCAGAGGUGAAAUUCUUGGAUUUCUGGAAGACGAACUAAUGCGAAAGCAUUUACCAAGGAUGUUUNCAUUAA
rnacentral:rRNA from 1 species